rnacentral:lncRNA from 1 species
AUUGACAAAGACCGGCUACGGUUUCGUCAACAUCUUGCAAACGAAAUGGCACAUUAUGCUGCAGACUGUUGGGAUGCUGAAAUUGAAUGCUCUUAUGGAUGGAUUGAGUGUGUUGGUAUAGCUGAUAGAUCUGCAUAUGACUUGCGUGCUCACACGGUGAGGCUUACAUAAAAUAGCCACAUACGGUUAAUUUAUUAUAUUCUCAGAUCUGCGUAUGACUUGCGUGCUCACACGGUGAGGCUUACAUAAAAUAGCCACAUACGGUUAAUUUAUUAUAUUCUUCAACCUACCCACAUAUGCUACAUCAGUUGCUUGCUGUUUCCACAUUCACUAUCUUCUUCUUUUCAGUAUCUAUCUGUUAACUUAUGGUUCGCCUAGU